UACGGAGGGUGCAAGCGUUAUCCGGAUUCACUGGGUUUAAAGGGAGCGUAGGUGGUUUUGUAAGUCAGUGGUGAAAUCUCGCAGCUUAACUGCGGAACUGCCAUUGAUACUGCUUAACUUGAAUCAAGUAGAGGUGGAUGGAAUAUUACAUGUAGCGGUGAAAUGCUUAGAGAUGUAAUAGAACACCGAUUGCGAAGGCAGUUCACUAUGCUUGUAUUGACACUGAGGCUCGAAAGCGUGGGGAUCAAACAGG
rnacentral:rRNA from 1 species